AGUAACGCGUAGGUAUCUGUCCAUGGGUGGGGGGAUAACAGCGGGAAACUGCUGCUAAUACCGCAUGACACCCGAGGGUCAAAGGCGCAAGUCGCCUGUGGAGGAGCCUGCGUCCGAUUAGCUUGUUGGUGGGGUAAUGGCCUACCAAGGCUGCGAUCGGUAGCUGGUCUGAGAGGAUGAUCAGCCACACUGGGACUGAGACACGGCCCAG
rnacentral:rRNA from 1 species